rnacentral:rRNA from 1 species
GAAUGCAAGUCGAACGAGAACUUUCGCUGUAGCAAUACAGUGGAAGUUUUAGUGGCGAACGGGUGCGUAACACGUGGACAAUCUGCCUUGAAGUGGGGGAUAGCUCGGCGAAAGCCGAAUUAAUACCGCAUGUGAUCAGGUUACUUCGGUGACCGAAAUUAAAGACGGCGCAAGCUGUCGCUUUUUGAGGAGUCCGCGGCCUAUCAGCUAGUUGGUGAGGUAACGGCUCACCAAGGCUUUGACGGGUAGCUGGUCUGAGAGGACGACCAGCCACACUGGAACUGAGACACGGUCCAGACACCUACGGGUGGCAGCAGUCGAGAAUUUUUCUCAAUGGGGGAAACCCUGAAGGAGCGACGCCGCGUGGAGGAUGAAGGUCUUCGGGUUGUAAACUCCUGUCAUUUGGGAACAAGUUAGUGCGGUUAACUGCCGCAUUAUUGAUAGUACCAGAAGAGGAAGAGACGGCUAACUCUGUGCCAGCAGCCGCGGUAAUACAGAGGUCUCAAGCGUUGUUCGGAUUCAUUGGGCGUAAAGGGUGCGUAGGUGGCGCCGUAAGUCAGGUGUGAAAUUUCGGAGCUUAACUCCGAAGCUGCAUUUGAUACUGCGGUGCUUGAGGACUGGAGAGGAGACUGGAAUUUACGGUGUAGCAGUGAAAUGCGUAAAGAUCGUAAGGAAGACCAGUGGCGAAGGCGGGUCUCUGGACAGUUCCUGACACUGAGGCACGAAGGCCAGGGGAGCGAACGGGAUUAGAUACCCCGGUAGUCCUGGCAGUAAACGGUGCA